CAUACGACCUACGGGAGAAAGGGGGCAGUUUACUGCUCUCGCUAUUAGAUGAGCCUAAGUCGGAUUAGCUAGAUGGUGGGGUAAAGGCCUACCAUGGCGACGAUCUGUAGCUGGUCUGAGAGGAUGAUCAGCCACACCGGGACUGAGACACGGCCCGGACUCCUACGGGAGGCAGCAGUGGGGAAUAUUGGACAAUGGGGGAAACCCUGAUCCAGCCAUGCCGCGUGUGUGAAGAAGGCCUUUUGGUUGUAAAGCACUUUAAGCAGUGAAGAAGACCUAACGGUUAAUACCCGUUAGCGAUGACAUUAGCUGCAGAAUAAGCACCGGCUAACUCUGUGCCAGCAGCCGCGGUAAUACAGAGGGUGCAAGCGUUAAUCGGAAUUACUGGGCGUAAAGCGAGCGUAGGUGGCUUGAUAAGUCAGAUGUGAAAUCCCCGGGCUUAACCUGGGAACUGCAUCUGAUACUGUUAAGCUAGAGUAGGUGAGAGGGAAGUAGAAUUCCAGGUGUAGCGGUGAAAUGCGUAGAGAUCUGGAGGAAUACCGAUGGCGAAGGCAGCUUCC
rnacentral:rRNA from 2 species